GACGAACGCUGGCGGCGUGCUUAACACAUGCAAGUCGAACGGAAAGGCCCUGCUUUUGUGGGGUUCUCGAGUGGCGAACGGGUGAGUAACACGUGAGUAACCUGCCCUUGACUUUGGGAUAACUUCAGGAAACUGGGGCUAAUACCGGAUAGGAGCUCCUGCUGCAUGGUGGGGGUUGGAAAGUUUCGGCGGUUGGGGAUGGACUCGCGGCUUAUCAGCUUGUUGGUGGGGUAGUGGCUUACCAAGGCUUGGACGGGUGGCCGGCCUGAGAGGGUGACCGGCCACAUUGGGACUGAGAUACGGCCCAGACUCCUACGGGAGGCAGCAGUGGGGAAUAUUGCACAAUGGGCGGAAGCCUGAUGCAGCAAUGCCGCGUGCGGGAUGACAGCCUUCGGGUUGUAAACCGCUUUCGCCUGUGACGAAGCGUGAGUGACGGUAAUGGGUAAAGAAGCACCGGCUAACUACGUG
rnacentral:rRNA from 1 species